GAUGAAGAACGCAGCGAAAUGCGAUAAGUAAUGUGAAUUGCAGAAUUCAGUGAAUCAUUGAAUCUUUGAACGCACCUUGCGCCCUUUGGCUAUUCCGAAGGGCAUGCCUGUUUGAGUAUCAUGAACACCUCAACUCUCAUGGCUUGCCAUGAUGAGCUUGGACUUUUGGGGGUCUUGCUGGCCUGUGGUCAGCUCCUCUCAAAUGAAUUAGCCUGCCAGUGUUUGGUGGCAUCACAGGUGUGAUAACUAUCUACGCUUGUGGUUUUCCACCAGGUAACCUUCAGUGAUGAAGGUUCGCUGGGGCUCAUAAGCGUCUCUCCUCAGUGAGGACAGCUCUUUGAACGUUUGAUCUCAAAUCAGGUAGGACUACCCGCUGAACUUAAGCAUAUCAAUAAGCGGAGGA
rnacentral:misc_RNA from 1 species